rnacentral:rRNA from 1 species
ACUCAAAUGAAUAGACGGGAGCCCGCACAAGCAGUGGAGUAUGUUGUUUAAUUCGACGCAACGCGAAGAACCUUACCAGGUCUUGACAUCUACCGAAUCCGGCGUAAUGGCCGGAGUGCCCUUCGGGGAGCGGUAAGACAGGUAGUGCAUGGUUGUCGUCAGCUCGUGUCGUGAGAUGUUGGGUUAAGUCCCGCAACGAGCGCAACCCUUACGGAUAGUUGCUAGUCCGGUCAAACGGAAAGCACUCUAUUCGGACUGCCGUUGACAAAACGGAGGAAGGUGGGGAUGAUGUCAAAUCAUCAUGCUCUUUAUGAUCGGGGCCACAAACGUACUACAAUGGCGCGAACAACGGGGAGCAAUGGCGCGAGCCGGAGCAAAUCCCAAAAACGCGUCCCAGUUCAGAUUGCAGGCUGCAACUCGCCUGCAUGAAGUCGGAAUUGCUAGUAAUCGCGGAUCAGCAUGCCGCGGUGAAUACGUUCCCGGGCUUUGCACACACCGCCCGU